GCAGCCGUAACUCAAUAGGCAGAGUAGCGGACUUUUAAUCCGAAGGUUGCAGGUUCGAUUCCUGCCGGCUGCA
rnacentral:tRNA from 1 species